rnacentral:rRNA from 1 species
GACGAACGCUGGCGGCGUGCUUAACACAUGCAAGUCGAACGGUGAAACGCCUUCCUUUUUGGUGGGUGUGGAUGAGUGGCGAACGGGUGAGUAACACGUGAGUAACCUGCCCCCUUCUUCUGGAUAACCGCAUGAAAGUGUGGCUAAUACGGGAUAUUCUGGGUCUGUCGCAUGAUGGGUCUGGGAAAGAUAUUGUUUCGGUGGGGAUGGGCUCGCGGCCUAUCAGCUUGUUGGUGGGGUGAUGGCCUACCAAGGCGGUGACGGGUAGCCGGCCUGAGAGGGUGGACGGUCACACUGGGACUGAGACACGGCCCAGACUCCUACGGGAGGCAGCAGUGGGGAAUAUUGCACAAUGGGCGCAAGCCUGAUGCAGCGACGCCGCGUGAGGGAUGGAGGCCUUCGGGUUGUGAACCUCUUUCGCCAGUGAAGCAGGCCUGCCUCGUUUGUGGGUGGGUUGACGGUAGCUGGAUAAGAAGCGCCGGCUAACUACGUG